rnacentral:rRNA from 1 species
UACGAAGGGGGCUAGCGUUGCUCGGAAUCAUUGGGCGUAAAGCGCGCGUAGGCGGCCCGGUAAGUCCGUUGUGAAAGUCAAAGGCUCAACCUUUGAAUGCCGAUGGAUACUGCCGGGCUCGAGUCCGGAAGAGGCGAGUGGAAUUCCUGGUGUAGCGGUGGAAUGCGCAGAUAUCAGGAGGAACACCAAUAGCGAAGGCAGCUCGCUGGGACGGUACUGACGCUAAGGCGCGAAAGCGUGGGGAGCGAACAGG